rfam:Populus trichocarpa isolate Nisqually-1 chromosome 8, whole genome shotgun sequence.
UUUAGAACUUGAGAUAUGGGCUGAACACCAAAUAGUGUCUAGGUUGCUGUAAAGAUUCAUACUUCUUUUUUGUUGCUAAGAUUUGAACUUGAAAACGACAGCUAUGAAUCUUGGACUCUUCAUAAAUGUUUUAUGCCUAUGUUUUAUCUUUCCAUC